GAUAGGUCCGGUACAACAUAAAGCCGUGGUCCUGGGUGUGGAAGAGUUAAGUACUUAAGUACUUAAGAUGAACUGAGAGGCACUAAGCAACGAAAUUCAUGCCGAGAAGUUUGCCAUCAGAGGGGACAGGGGUGGCCAUAUCCAGCUUCUAGACCUCAUAAUCCAAUUCCUUGAUACGUCCCUGCUUCUACCCCAGGGACCAUCUGGACUCACCAUUCCAGUAUCCGAAGUUGGUACCUCCAUGGAACAUGUACCUGAAGGGGGGAGGGGGGAAGGUGGGGGAAAGGCAAAAGCUGACCCACUGAAUCUUCAUUUUCAUCCCCAAUACCCAGUUACAACUUCAUGUUGGCCCGUGUCUCCAGUUACAUGUUCACGCUGGCUCCCAACUUCAGCAUGUUCUCUAGACCUUUGGUUACAGCUGAAAUGCAUCGUGUGGAGUGAUUCUGGCCCCAGUAAUCCAGCCAGCCUGUGUAGUAUUCAGAGUUCACCUAGAAGGUGAAGUGGAAGAUACCAUAAAUGAAAUGGGAAACUGAGCUUGACCCAUUCCAAA